AGAGUUUGAUCCUGGCUCAGGAUGAUCGCUGGCGGCGUGCUUAACACAUGCAAGUCGAACGGAGUUAUCAUUUUUGAAGCGAUUAGCUUGCUAAGAGUGGAAAAGUUGAUAACUUAGUGGCGGACGGGUGAGUAACGCGUGGGUAACCUGCCUUACACAGGGGGAUAACACUUAGAAAUAGGUGCUAAUACCGCAUAAGCGCACAGUCCCGCAUGGGACAGGGUGAAAAACAUUAGUGGUGUAAGAUGGACCCGCGUCUGAUUAGCUUGUUGGCGGGGUAACGGCCCACCAAGGCGACGAUCAGUAGCCGGCCUGAGAGGGUGGACGGCCACAUUGGGACUGAGACACGGCCCAAACUCCUACGGGAGGCAGCAGUGGGGGAUAUUGGACAAUGGGGGAAACCCUGAUCCAGCGACGCCGCGUGAGUGAAGAAGUAUUUCGGUAUGUAAAGCUCUAUCAGCAGGGAAGAAAGAAAUGACGGUACCUGAGUAAGAAGCCCCGGCUAACUACGUGCCAGCAGCCGCGGUAAUACGUAGGGGGCAAGCGUUAUCCGGAAUUACUGGGUGUAAAGGGAGCGUAGACGGUAAUGCAAGUCUGGAGUGAAAGGCGGGGGCCCAACCCCCGGGCUGCUCUGGAAACUGUGUAACUGGAGUGCAGGAGAGGCAGGCGGAAUUCCUAGUGUAGCGGUGAAAUGCGUAGAUAUUAGGAGGAACACCAGUGGCGAAGGCGGCUCACUGGACUGUAACUGACGUUGAGGCUCGAAAGCGUGGGGAGCAAACAGGAUUAGAUACCCUGGUAGUCCACGCCGU
rnacentral:rRNA from 1 species